rnacentral:lncRNA from 1 species
UCGAGUCAUCUCUCUGAGACCUCCUCAUCAAGAUGACAAACUCCUCAAUCACUGACCAGGAGGGUCCUACUCCUUGCCAAGUUGCAGGAGCAGGAGCAACUGGAUUGAUUGAAAAUGAGUCAGACCAAGUCAGAGAUGAAGCUCAAGGCAGAGGUGGUGGAGUCAAUUCUCGAAUGGACUCUAGAGUAAUGGGAGCGCUACCCUGAUCAGGGGUAGUGUGAUGAUGACUUCUUGCAUGUCAUCGAUCUGUAUAGGAUUUGUGUUAGAAGUCCUAGCCGAUCUACUGAGGGUAGG